AUUGAACGCUGGCGGCAUGCUUUACACAUGCAAGUCGAACGGCAGCGGGGGCUUCGGCCUGCCGGCGAGUGGCGAACGGGUGAGUAAUGCAUCGGAACGUGCCCAUGUCGUGGGGGAUAACGUAUCGAAAGGUACGCUAAUACCGCAUACGUCCUGAGGGAGAAAGCGGGGGAUCUUCGGACCUCGCGCGAUUGGAGCGGCCGAUGUCGGAUUAGCUAGUAGGUGAGGUAAAGGCUCACCUAGGCGACGAUCCGUAGCGGGUCUGAGAGGAUGAUGCGCCACACUGGGACUGAGACACGGCCCAGACUCCUACGGGAGGCAGCAGUGGGGAAUUUUGGACAAUGGGCGCAAGCCUGAUCCAGCCAUGCCGCGUGAGUGAAGAAGGCCUUCGGGUUGUAAAGCUCUUUCGGCCGGGAAGAAAUCGUGUUCUCUAACAUAGGACAUGGAUGACGGUGCCGGACUAAGAAGCACCGGCUAACUACGUGCCAGCCGCCGCGGUAAUAC
rnacentral:rRNA from 1 species